GCUAAUAGUGCCAAGGGGAAUCCUGACAAAGUAAGCCGCCAUCUACUCCUCUCCAGCUUUUCAUCUUCAGAGUCCAGAGGGAUCCCCAGAUGCGGGGAGUAAGCCUACUCCUCUGACCUCUAUACCUCCAUUACUAAGGGUCAAAUGAAAAGUGCCAAAUCUUUACAUAUCCAGACCUCAGCCACGAACCUAGCAACAUACAUUUAAAAACACGCUCAAGAUUACACUGUAUAUGGAAAAUCAAAAUUUGGAUCUGGAAUUUAUGCUUAACUUCUCUAGGCUCUGUUUCCUCUGUUAAAAUUGAGAAAAAAAGAUAUUUGCAGGAUUGUGG
rnacentral:lncRNA from 10 species